AUUGAACGCUGGCGGCAGGCCUAACACAUGCAAGUCGAACGAGUGGCGGACGGGUGAGUAAUGUCUGGGAAACUGCCUGAUGGAGGGGGAUAACUACUGGAAACGGUCGCUAAUACCGCAUACCAUCAGAUUUGCCCAGAUUGGAUUAGCUAGUUGGUGGGGUAACGGCUCACCAAGGCGUCGAUCCCUAGCUGGUCUGAGAGGCGGACCGCCCCACCGGGAACUGGACCAGGGUCCAGACUCCUACGUGAGGCAGCGGUGGGGAAUAUUGCACAAGGGGCGCAAGCCUUAGGCGGCCAUGCCGCGUGUAUGAAUAAGGCCUUCGGGUUGUAAAGUACUUUCAGCGGGGAGGCGUUACCCGCAGAAGAAGCACCGGCUAACUCCGUGCCAGCAGCCGCGGUAAUUC
rnacentral:rRNA from 1 species